rnacentral:rRNA from 1 species
UACAACAUAGAUUUAAUGCAUUGGAUCCCAUUAUAACUUCGUAGUUAAGCACGCUUAUGCUAUAUUAGUACUAGGAUAUGUGACCGCCCGAGAAGUCCUAGUGUUUUAC